UACGUAGGAGGCAAGCGUUGUCCGGAAUUACUGGCGUAAAGCGCGUGUAGGUGGUGGGACAAGUCUGCUGUGAAAGCGCCUGGCUUAACCGGGCGAGGUCGGCGGAACUGUUUCACUGGAGGACGGUAGAGGGGGGUGGAAUUCCCGGUGUAGUGGUGAAAUGCGUAGAGAUCGGGAGGAACACCUGUGGCGAAGGCGGCCCCCUGGGCCGGCCC
rnacentral:rRNA from 1 species